rnacentral:rRNA from 1 species
GUGAACGCUGGCGGCAGGCCUAGCACAUGCAAGUCGAGCGGCAGCGCGGGGGCAACCCUGGCGGCGAGCGGCGGACGGGUGAGGAAUUCGUCGGAAUCUGCCUUUUUGUGGGGGAUAACGUAGGGAAACUUACGCUAAUACCGCAUACGUCCUACGGGAGAAAGUGGGGGACCGCAAGGCCUCACGCAGAAAGAUGAGCCGACGACCGAUUAGCUAGUUGGUGGGGUAAAGGCCCACCAAGGCGACGAUCGGUAGCUGGUCUGAGAGGAUGAUCAGCCACACUGGGACUGAGACACGGCCCAGACUCCUACGGGAGGCAGCAGUGGGGAAUAUUGGACAAUGGGCGCAAGCCUGAUCCAGCCAUGCCGCGUGUGUGAAGAAGGCCUUCGGGUUGUAAAGCACUUUUGUCCGGAAAGAAAUCCCUGGAGCUAAUACCUUCGGGGGAUGACGGUACCGGAAGAAUAAGCACCGGCUAACUUCGUG